rnacentral:rRNA from 1 species
UACAGAGGUCUCGAGCGUUAGGCGGAAUCACUGGGCUUAAAGCGUGUGUAGGUGGAUGCCUAAGUACCUUGUGAAAUCCCACAGCUUAACUGUGGAACUGCUUGGUAUACUGGGUGUCUUGAGUCACUCAGGGGCGAGCGGAACAAAUGGUGGAGCGGUGAAAUGCGUAGAUAUCAUUUGGAACGCCAAUGGUGAAAACAGCUCGCUGGGGGUGUACUGACACUGAGACACGAAAUCCAGGGGAGCGAACGGG